UUUUCAGUGUAAGUAUGUCCCAUGCAAUAUUUGGGAUAUACUUAUACUAAAA
rfam:Equus caballus chromosome 11, whole genome shotgun sequence.